AACAGUGGAUGGCAGCAGAGGGCUGC
rnacentral:piRNA from 1 species